UAAUCAUAAGUUAAGAAAAAAAAAGAAAAAGUUAACAAAAAAGAAUGAGGAACCUUUGUAGGGGCUGAGCCAUCACCGAAGAUCGUCGAAGCCACUGCACCCUGUAAUCACGCCGAGUUCAUCACUACCGAACGCCACCAUAGGCUGCCACUGCAUUCCCCUCGUCGAGAUGAAGCCGUAGCCGCCGACCACGCCACAAUCGGAGCCCGGACGAAACCGCACACGCCCCGCAAGUUUUGCUGUCCGCGAGCUUGAUGUCCACAUGCCGCCGUCAGUCACCGUCUCCGCCGCCACGGAGCCCCUGUCCUCAACCGCCGCACCGCCGUUCUUUACCAUCGCCGCCGGUGACUUUUCCGGUAAGCCGCUGCUGUCCAUCACCGUCAAUGACCGCGCAGGUGACUCGGUUAACUCAGCCAGCCGAGUCGACUAAGUUAGUCAACUCGGUGAUUCGGUCAACGGGAUGGUAUGACUGGUGUAAAUUGAUUUCAGUUCGAUUAGGGUAAACUGGUCAGUUAAAAUUAAUUAGGUUUCAGUUAGGUUAAACUGGUUGAUUUAAUUAAUUCGGUUUAUGUUAAGUAAACUGAAUUGUCCUUUGGAAUUGAUUUCAAUUAAGGAAAAUUUGGUUGUUUUAAAUCAAUUCCAAUCUUGCCAAGGGCUGACCGGAUUGACCUUUGACCAGUGGAUUGAUUUUGAUUAGACCCGAUCCGUUUUACCUGUUCGAAGGGUGUUUUGACUCGAAAUUUUCCUCUGAUUUCAAAUUUUGGAAUCUAUUUGGGCAAACGGAGUUCAUAGACACCACUUUUCCAUAUUUCUAAGUUGAGGGUUUAUUUCUGAACUUCUCGUACACGGCUUAGGAUUUCAAAUAAAUAUAAUUUAUUUCUAAUAUAUUCCGUCAGUGUGAAAUCAAGUAUAUCAUUACUUGUUUAGUUAUUUUGGUUCUUUGUUUAAACUGGAACUAGGGUGCUAGAUGGUUUUGUAUGCCGGAUUGUAUGGAUGUUACCGCCAGUUCAAUCGACUGGCUGGACCGUAACCUGGAGAGGUCGAUGAAGCGUGUGAGGGCGGUGACCCUGAGCACUCUCUCGGCAGUGUUUUGUUUGCCCGUUAGUGGGCAGCGAGUGCAUGCCUUACUAUGACCAUUGUUUGUUGUUUUGGUAUUUUAGGUACCGUGCUUGAUACAUGUUAGAUUUAAAAUAUAUUUAUUCGGAAUGUUAUGAUUGGGUCCAUGGACUUCGAAGUAGCAUCCCAUGCCUCAUUGAGUGACUCCUAGAUUGCUUACCCCUCCUUUCUCCUUUCAAAUGAAACGGACGAGCAGAAAUGAUUAUACCGGACGAGUUCUCUUGGGCGCUAUUGGGCUUUAUCGCUUUUAUCACUUUUUAUCGUUAUUGGGCUUUUAGGGCUUUGGAGUUUUUAUCGUUUGUGUUAUUUUCUAUUUCAGACUUUUGGUUUAUGUUGUUCUUUAUAUUUCGGAUGUUAUCGAUAUUCGUAGAUGUUGACUCUAGAAUGUCUAUAAGUGGAAUUUAUUAUUUAUUAUUAUGUUAUUUUAUUGUUAUUUGUUCUCAGAAGUGACAGGUGUCACAGAACUAGCUGUUGGGAAUGAUUUGAUCUUGUACCAAGAUAUCUUGGUGAAAUAUCCAUGAAAAGAGUCUCUGAUUGAUGAAUAAGCUCUCAAUGGUCGUGGUCUCCACUGGGUGGUCUCCACUGGGUCAAAUGAAAAGAGUCAUUGGAGAGUUUAAGUCUAGUGUGAACUCAUUUGUAUUAGGAAAGUGUAUAAACAAGAGGAUCUGCAUAAUCGUGUUGUUUCUGGUGCAUGGUAUGAUGUUUAUAGACUCAAUUAAACAUCGGAUGUUAUCUCGUGGUUUCCACAUAUGACUUUGGUUUUUCACAUCUUGAAUAAAUGGGAAAUUUCUUUAUUUGAA